rnacentral:rRNA from 1 species
AGCUCCAAUAGCGUAUAUUAAAGUUGUUGCAGUUAAAAAGCUCGUAGUUGGAUUUCUGAUACGAUGCGCCUGGCCCGGCUAGCAAUAGUUCGAGUGCCGGUAGCGCGUCUAUCAUCCUUCUUGACGGAUGUGUCAGGGUCAAACCUGGCUGCCGCUGAGAUCUUUUACUUUGAAAAAAUUAGAGUGUUUAAAGCAGGCUUACGCCUUGAAUACAUUAGCAUGGAAUAAUAAUAUAGGACUUGAGUCUUAUUUUGUUGGUUUCUAAGAUUUAAGUAAUGAUUGAUAGGGAUAGUUGGGGGUGCUAGUAUUCAGCGGCCAGAGGUGAAAUUCUUUGAUUCGCUGAAGACUAACUUAUGCGAAAGCAUUCACCAAGGAUGUCUUCU